ACCGCAUCAAAUGCAAGCAUUUGCAGCACCGCAAAACGUUCAUUCUCCGGUUCCAAUACCUUCUUGGUUUUUCUUUGCCGCACAAAAAAGGAAUGUACAAAACUAAGGAGAACAAUGCCGGUCCGUACAAAGACAGACUCGACGAAAAGGCAAAGAAAAGAUACGAGGAAAAAAUCAAAGGAGUGAAAGGGUCAGACCCUUAGGAGCACACAGAGUGGACAAAAGACGUUAGCGUGCUGCCCAACUUUCACCACGCUCAGAUUUAUAAUUAUACGGUUCUUGGAGUGAGUGCAUACACUCAUGAAGCUUUUAGUAACUUCAGGUCACUGCAACAAGCCCAGGUACAGUUUACCGAUGGAUGGGUACAGGACCUUGAAAUGCACCGUGUAGAACGAAAGACCAUCGUACGAACAAAGGUUACCAGAGUCAGCUGGGGAUUCAUGAACAUCAUCAGUGAUGUUUCUCCACAGCGGGCUCAUCAGUACCUGGUGACAGAAGGUCGAUCCAGCUCUGACUUGAGGCUGUUCAAGAAUCAGCUCCACUUGAUCUGGUUCCACCUCUACCACAGGCAGAGAAACACAGGCCUGGGCUCUUUGUUGGCCAGACAAAAUCAGGAACGGAAAUCAUUGGUUUUCACAACUGGGUCCAGUUCCACCUGCAAAGGAUGAUUUGGUUACCAGAGUCAGCUGGGGAUUCAUGAACAUCAUCAGCGAUGUUUCUCCACAGCGGGCUCAUCAGUACCUGGUGACAGAAGGUCGAUCCAGCUCUGACUUGAGGCUGUUCAAGAAUCAGCUCCACUUGAUCUGGUUCCACCUCUACCACAGGCAGAGAAACACAGGCCUGGGCUCUUUGUUGGCCAGACAAAAUCAGGAACGGAAAUCAUUGGUUUUCACAACUGGGUCCAGUUCCACCUGCAAAGGAUGAUUUGGUUACCAGAGUCAGCUGGGGAUUCAUGAACAUCAUCAGUGAUGUUUCUCCACAGCGGGCUCAUCAGUACCUGGUGACAGAAGGUCGAUCCAGCUCUGACUUGAGGCUGUUCAAGAAUCAGCUCCACUUGAUCUGGUUCCACCUCUACCACAGGCAGAGAAACACAGGCCUGGGCUCUUUGUUGGCCAGACAAAAUCAGGAACGGAAAUCAUUGGUUUUCACAACUGGGUCCAGUUCCACCUGCAAAGGAUGAUUUGGUUACCAGAGUCAGCUGGGGAUUCAUGAACAUCAUCAGUGAUGUUUCUCCACAGCGGGCUCAUCAGUACCUGGUGACAGAAGGUCGAUCCAGCUCUGACUUGAGGCUGUUCAAGAAUCAGCUCCACUUGAUCUGGUUCCACCUCUACCACAGGCAGAGAAACACAGGCCUGGGCUCUUUGUUGGCCAGACAAAAUCAGGAACGGAAAUCAUUGGUUUUCACAACUGGGUCCAGUUCCACCUGCAAAGGAUGAUUUGGUUACCAGAGUCAGCUGGGGAUUCAUGAACAUCAUCAGUGAUGUUUCUCCACAGCGGGCUCAUCAGUACCUGGUGACAGAAGGUCGAUCCAGCUCUGACUUGAGGCUGUUCAAGAAUCAGCUCCACUUGAUCUGGUUCCACCUCUACCACAGGCAGAGAAACACAGGCCUGGGCUCUUUGUUGGCCAGACAAAAUCAGGAACGGAAAUCAUUGGUUUUCACAACUGGGUCCAGUUCCACCUGCAAAGGAUGAUUUGGUUACCAGAGUCAGCUGGGGAUUCAUGAACAUCAUCAGCGAUGUUUCUCCACAGCGGGCUCAUCAGUACCUGGUGACAGAAGGUCGAUCCAGCUCUGACUUGAGGCUGUUCAAGAAUCAGCUCCACUUGAUCUGGUUCCACCUCUACCACAGGCAGAGAAACACAGGCCUGGACUCUUUGUUGGCCAGACAAAAUCAUUGGUUUUCACAACUGGGUCCAGUUCCACCUGCAAAGGAUAUAAGGCCAGGGAGCAUGAUUUGAUUACAGGAAGUCUCUGGCUGUGUUGCUGAAUCUGCCGAUGCAAGAUCAGACAUGGAUGGAUGAGGUGCUGCAACUGAGCCCUGCCUUUUGUCUUUUCUGGUCGUGCAAAGGCAGCUGGCAGAGGAAUGGCCAAGGAAAGGAAAGACCCCACUGAGCGAAAAAGAUGAGGACAAAAGCUGGUGAUGAUUCAGUGCAGCUGGUCUCAGGGGAUGAAGAAAAAGCCUGAUCAACUUCUCUACAAAAACAAGGCUCAAUGAGACGGGGGAAGUAAACAGCGAUACAUUCACCCAGACUGCUGAUGUUCCUGUAUGAACUGAAAAACUUUGAACAUCCAAGAAAAAGCUGAGGUUAUUUUCUUUACAGCUCAUAUGGAUCUUGAUUGACUGAACAUUCAGACUUUAUUCAGGACUUUGCUACGGGGAGAGAGGUACCAACAUAUGUGAGCACAUGUGUACACACACACAGCAUCUCACUUCAUGCUUGCCCUUCCCCUAGACUCUUGUGUCACUCAGCAGUUGUCGUAUUAUUGUCUUAUUUGUUGAAAUUUAGAGUCCAUGAGCACAAGCAGGGAUUUUUGCUUGACCUCAUUCUCAGAGGCCUCACUAAUAUUUAAUGGUUGUGAAAUAUGUCAAACUUUUCUCCCAUCCCUAAAGUUAAACAGCUGAGAGCAUCUUUAGCACAGCAGAGAAAAAGAUGUGCACCAUCAACCCGAGUUUAAGUGAUCCAUUUAAGUGAUCCUUAUGCCUUUGCUGCUGAUGAAAAGUUUUCAUCAGAACAAGCACUUCUAAUUGUACACUGUAAAAAAUAUUGUAGAAUUUACGGUAAAUUACUGGCAGCUGUGGUUGCCAGAAUUUCACCGUGAAAAUAAAUUGUAAAUGUAGAACACAAAACGGUAUCCUAUUUUAGUAACCUUAAAUUUCACAGUAAAUAAUAAUUAUAUUUUUUACAGUAAAUCACUGAAUUUAAACAUAAAUUCAUGUGAAAAC